rnacentral:rRNA from 1 species
UACGGAGGGUGCAAGCGUUGCUCGGAAUCACUGGGCGUAAAGCGCCCGCAGGCGGCCUGACAAGUCGGAUGUGAAAGCCCUGGGCUCAACUCAGGAAUUGCAUUCGAAACUGGCAGGCUCGAGUACGGAAGAGGCGAGUGGAAUUCCUGGUGUAGCGGUGAAAUGCGCAGAUAUCAGGAGGAACACCGGUGGCGAAGGCGGGUCUCUGGGCAACAACUGACGCUGAGGAGCGAAAGCGUGGGGAGCGAACAGG